GAUGAACGCUGGCGGCGUGCCUAAUACAUGCAAGUCGAGCGAACAGACGAGGAGCUUGCUCCUCUGACGUUAGCGGCGGACGGGUGAGUAACACGUGGAUAACCUACCUAUAAGACUGGGAUAACUUCGGGAAACCGGAGCUAAUACCGGAUAAUAUAUUGAACCGCAUGGUUCAAUAGUGAAAGACGGUUUUGCUGUCACUUAUAGAUGGAUCCGCGCCGCAUUAGCUAGUUGGUAAGGUAACGGCUUACCAAGGCAACGAUGCGUAGCCGACCUGAGAGGGUGAUCGGCCACACUGGAACUGAGACACGGUCCAGACUCCUACGGGAGGCAGCAGUAGGGAAUCUUCCGCAAUGGGCGAAAGCCUGACGUAGCAACGCCGCGUGAGUGAUGAAGGUCUUCGGAUCGUAAAACUCUGUUAUUAGGGAAGUACAAAUGUGUAAGUAACUAUGCACGUCUUGACGGUACCUAAUCAGAAAGCCACGGCUAACUACGUG
rnacentral:rRNA from 1 species